CUAAAACUCCCAACCUUCCAAUCACAGGGUUGUUUAUCUGGCAACCAGCCCCCAUCCUGAAGCUAUCUAUGGGCACCAAGAGUCACCUCACUGGCAUAAACUCAGCUCCCUCCUGAUUAUAAUAAGCUCAUGCCUCAGAUCAUCAGAUUUUCAUCACAGAACAUAUACGUACUUCAGCAUCUGCAACCCUAUGGAGGUGACCCCACUUCUUACUGUCUCGUGGAGGGUUCAAGGCAUUCUGUAGAUGCCUUCCAGCCUCUCCCGCCUCCCCGCUCAACACCUUUUAAUCGACGAAGUCCCCUCCUCUUUCUGCAGCCAUUCUGUUACUUACAGAAUGGAGACAACGCCAAUAAAAAUGUACUUUAAACAAAAAGUAAAUUCAGC
rnacentral:lncRNA from 1 species